UGGGGUUGGGAGCUAAAACUGCUCUUGAAGGAAACAAGCAAAGGAGAUGAAGAAAGUGGGUCAGAAAUGUACCGGCAUGAAACUGUGUGAGUGGAGUGUUGGUGAUUUGUCAUGCUCAGGGAGCCAGGAGGAUGAAGAUAUUGGGGUAUCUGAAGAUCUUGGAGGGCUUCAGACCCACAUCAGAGCAGACCAGUCAUAAAGGGAAGCAUCUGACUCCACGUGGAAUAUUUAAGCAGAUGUGAUCAGUACCAUAAGCUUUAUUCCUAUGUAUUUUGGGGUCUUGUCUUUAAGAUGCACUCUACACCCUUCCACCUUGAAAGAGAAAGGAAACAUUCUUAAUAAAGAAUACUAAUAUAUGCUAUUGAAAUAA